GUCCCUUUGCUAGAAACCUGUUUAGGCACAAGAAUCUAACUCCUUAGAAAAUGAAACAUAAAGGGAAGUCUCCUAGUUGGCUUAUGAGGAAGUAUUUUUUCCCCUAGUUUUUGCCUUCUUGUCUUUUAUUACCACCGUGUGAGUACACAAGGGUGGGAGAUGUGUAGCCGUCAUAAGUUAAGGAGAAGAAAGCCAUGGGAAUUGCAGAAAGGCUGAACUGAAGCUCUGAUAAUAUAGAAAUACCGGAGAAAACUGUUAUGGCAUUUAUCUGACUCUGGGCCACUUGUAACAUAAAACAAUAAAUUCUUUAUUCAUUCAGGUCAUUAUAUUUGGAUUUUUUGCUACUUACUGAAGCAAGCUUAUGGAAAUUAGCCUGUGGUAUAUAAAAAUAGACCCAGGGUAUAAAAAUCUCACCCAGAUUCCAAUUGUUAUAGGCUUCUUUAAGAUGAGAGUGACGUGAACAUGUGAAGAUUGGAAACCCAAGAAAUGUCCUGCUAAUUGCUAGAAAAGAAAGGACAUCUUUUUACAUUCUUCCACGCUCUCAUUAAAGGUAUUGAGUAUUGUAAGAGAGAAUCUCUAAUUCAUGUAGGGCAAGGUUGUUGAUCUUGGUUUUACAUUUUUGGACAGUAAAUAUUUCAAAACA
rnacentral:lncRNA from 1 species